AUUGAACGCUGGCGGCAUGCCUUACACAUGCAAGUCGAACGGCAGCACGGGAGCAAUCCUGGUGGCGAGUGGCGAACGGGUGAGUAAAGUAUCGGAACGUGCCCAGUCGUGGGGGAUAACGUAGCGAAAGUUACGCUAAUACCGCAUACGAUCUACGGAUGAAAGCGGGGGAUCGCAAGACCUCGCGCGAUUGGAGCGGCCGAUAUCAGAUUAGGUAGUUGGUGGGGUAAAGGCUCACCAAGCCGACGAUCUGUAGCUGGUCUGAGAGGACGACCAGCCACACUGGGACUGAGACACGGCCCAGACUCCUACGGGAGGCAGUAGUGGGGAAUUUUGGACAAUGGGCGAAAGCCUGAUCCAGCCAUGCCGCGUGCAGGAUGAAGGCCUUCGGGUUGUAAACUGCUUUUGUACGGAACGAAAAGGUUUGGCCUAAUAAGCUGAGCUCAUGACGGUACUGUAAGAAUAAGCACCGGCUAACUACGUGCCAGCAGCCGCCGUAA
rnacentral:rRNA from 1 species